AGAGAUCUGGGCGACGCGUCUACAAGCCAAGCGACACCAAAGGUGGCCAGCAGCCCAUGUGAAGCUGGAGGAGAGGCCUCGAAUAAAUGCUCCCUUACAGCGUUCAGGGGGAACUGACCCUGUCCACACCUUGACCUUGAACUUCUGGGCUCCAGAACUGUGAGACAGCAUGUUCUGUUGUUGAAGGAGCAGCGUGGCUAGAGGAAUUCCUGCAGCUUAGAUUUCGCUGGCACUGUUACCACUCCCAGAGAGGAGCGGCUGGAGUUCACGGCUGGUUCCUGACAAACUUCCUAAUUAAUCUGCUAAAGAUCAGAGGAGGACUAAUAGGAGCUGAAGACUAUACAACGGUGGAAUAAAAUAUCUUCCAGCCAACAUAUUUUUUGGAGACGGAAUCUCACUCUGUCACCUGGUUGAAGUGCAGCAGCGCGAUCAUGGCUCACUGCAACCUCU
rnacentral:lncRNA from 1 species